rnacentral:rRNA from 1 species
UGGGGAAUAUUGCACAAUGGGCGCAAGCCUGAUGCAGCCAUGCCGCGUGUAUGAAGAAGGCCUUCGGGUUGUAAAGUACUUUCAGCGGGGAGGAAGUGAGUAAAGUUAAUACCUUUGCUCAUUGACGUUACCCGCAGAAGAAGCACCGGCUAACUCCGUGCCAGCAGCCGCGGUAAUACGGAGGGUGCAAGCGUUAAUCGGAAUUACUGGGCGUAAAGCGCACGCAGGCGGUUUGUUAAGUCAGAUGUGAAAUCCCCGGGCUCAACCUGGGAACUGCAUCUAAUACUGGCCAGCUUGAGUCUCGUAGAGGGGGAUGGAAUUCCGGGUGUAGCGGUGAAAUGCGUAGAGAUCUGGAGGAAUACCGGUGGCGAAGGCGGCCCCCUGGACGAAGACUGACGCUCAGGUGCGAAAGCGUGGGGAGCAAACAGG